AGACAAACGCCGGAUGAACGGAUAUCAUUGAUGUUGAUAAAAAUAGUAAGUAACUCUUGUCUU
rnacentral:tRNA from 1 species